AGCUUUAAUUACACAAGCCAAACCAGCCGGCUAUAAAUUAGGGCAGCGAUCUUCAAUCCUUGUUCAUCAUCAUCAUCAUCAUCAUCACAGAAAAACAAAGAGAGAUGGAGAGAAAAACAAAGGCUUUGUUGGUUUUGGUGAUAGUGGUGCUGUUUGGGUCACUUGCUGAAGGAGCUAGGGAUUUGGAGACAAAUGGGGAUGAAGUUUACCGGCAGGAGGAACUCUUUUGGGGUGGCGCAGGCGGUAAGGGAUUGAAAGGUCACGGCUGGCUGUGGGGUCACCGCUGGUGGCCGUGGAAUUGGGGUACCGGUAUAACUCCUGGUGUCGGACUCGGACCAGGGAUCGGAGGAGGCGGACCAGGAGUCGGUGGAGCAGGACCAGGAGUCGGUGGAGGCCUACCAGGGAUAAUCGGUGGAGGCCUACCAGGGAUAAUCGGAGGAGGCGGACCAGGGAUCCCAGGGGGUGGACCUGGAAUCGGGGGAGGCGGGCCAGGAAACCCAGGAGGGCUACCAGCAAUCGGAGGAGGCGGACCUGGAAUGACUGCUGCAAGAUUUUCAAGGCCAAUUUGGCCGGAUUCAGAGCGAGUGCGACCACCAAGAACUGCAGAGCCAAGAACGACAGUUGGCGCUGCAACUGCAACAGAUUCAAGGACAAUUUUGGGAGUUUCAGAGCCAGUGCUACCACCAAAAACUGCAAUAUUCUCAGAGCCAGGAACGACGGUUGAAGCUGCAACUGCAACAGAUUCAAGGAAAAUUUGGGCAGAUUCAGAGCCAGUGCUACCACCAAAAACUGCAAUAUUCUCAGAGCCAGGAACGACGGUUGAAGCUGCAACUGCAACAGAUUCAAGGAAAAUUUGGGCAGAUUCAGAGCCAGUGCUACCACCAAAAACUGCAAUAUUCUCAGAGCCAGGAACGACGGUUGAAGCUGCAACUGCAACAGAUUCAAGGAAAAUUUGGGCAGAUUCAGAGCCAGUGCUACCACCAAAAACUGCAAUAUUCUCAGAGCCAGGAACGACGGUUGAAGCUGCAACUGCAACAGAUUCAAGGAAAAUUUGGGCAGAUUCAGAGCCAGUGCUACCACCAAAAACUGCAAUAUUCUCAGAGCCAGGAACGACGGUUGAAGCUGCAACUGCAACAGAUUCAAGGAAAAUUUGGGCAGAUUCAGAGCCAGUGCUACCACCAAAAACUGCAAUAUUCUCAGAGCCAAGAACGACAGUUGAAGCUAUAACUGCAACUGCAACAGAAGAGGUACCCAAACGUCCUUGAAACCGAGAUGUAUUCACUAUGCUACAACAAUGAUAGAGCGACUAAAUAAUACGAAUUUGCAGAAAGAUCAGAUUUGCUCAUGAUGGAUAUGUAAAGCUCUACUACUACAAUAAAAAUGAUGGUAUCUUUAUGUAUGGCGAGAGAGAUCGAUGACAUAUAUCUAAAAUCAUAGAUCACUUGCAUUCCGUCAAGAUCCCAGUACGAAUUGUUGUUAACAAGUGUUCACAACAUCGAGAACACCUGAAAUUCAGAUUUGCCAAAUUCAUCAAUACAAGGCAAAUCUGAUAUGAUCUAAUUGCAAAUGUUAGAUGAACUUUGUCCUGACAUAAAUUCAACCAAAAAAAAGGAGAAAAAAGGCAUCCACCAUGCUAAAGCUGCUGUUCUUCCUUUCAUCCAUCCAUCUGAAGGCUACUCUCAUCGAAC
rnacentral:lncRNA from 1 species